rnacentral:rRNA from 1 species
AUUGAACGCUGGCGGCAGGCCUAACACAUGCAAGUCGAGCGGAGCGGCGGACGGGUGAGUAAUGCCUAGGAAUCAGCCUGGUAGUGGGGGAUAACGUCCGGAAACGGGCGCUAAUACCGCAUCCUAUCAGAUGAGCCUAGGCCGGAUUAGCUAGUUGGUGGGGUAAAGGCCUACCAAGGCGACGAGCCGUAACUGGUCUGAGAGGAUGGUCAGUCACACUGGAACUGAGGCACGGUCCAGACGCCUACGGGAGGCAGCAGUGGGGAAUAUUGGACAAUGGGCGAAAGCCUGAUGCAGCCAUGCCGCGUGUGUGAAGAAGGUCUUCGGAUUGUAAAGUACUUUAAGUUGGGAGGCGUUACCAACAGAAGAAGCACCGGCUAACUCCGUGCCAGCAGCCGCGGUAAUUC